ensembl:misc_RNA 7SK 7SK RNA
GGAUGUGAGGGCGAUCUGGCCCAGACAUCUGUCACCCAAUUGAUUGCCGGGGUUGAUUCGGCUCAUCUGGCUGGCUAGGUGGGUGUCCCCUUGUCACCACCCAGUGUGCAGCCUCCCCAAAGCUGCAUACUUAGUCGAAGAGGACAACCCCCCCAAAUAAGAGGCCCCUCUCCUCAGUGAAGGGUACACGAGUAGCUACAUUCCCCUUCUAGAACCUCCAAACAAACUCUAAUUGCUGCUUUUCUUCAUGUAAAGAUCUAAGGCUCAUGGAGAUGUUAGUUGAGUGCCACAUUGUACGUGACACCCGUGACACUC